GCUUGAGGAUGAGCCCGCGUCCUAUCGUCUUGUUGGUGAGGUAACGGCUCACCAAGGCUAACACGGGUAGCUGGUCUGAGAGGAUGGUCAGCCACACUGGGACUGAGAUACUGCCCAGACUCCUACGGGAGGCUGCAGUCGAGGAUCAUUUGCAAUGGGCGAAAGCCUGACUGUGCGACGCCGCGUGCAGGAUGAAGGCCUUCGGGUUGUAAACUGCUGUCAUGGGAGAACAACCAACUUCCGGAUUAAUACCCCGGGAGCCUGAUAGUACCCCAAGAGGAAGCCACGGCUAACUCUGUGCCAGCAGCCGCGGUAAUACAGAGGUGGCAAGCGUUGUUCGGAUUUACUGGGCGUAAAGGGUGCGUAGGUGGCCCCGUGUGUCGGAUGUGAAAGCUCCUGGCUUAACCGGGAAAC
rnacentral:rRNA from 1 species